rnacentral:rRNA from 1 species
CCUACGGGAGGCAGCAGUGGGGAAUAUUGCACAAUGGGGGAAACCCUGAUGCAGCGACGCCGCGUGAGCGAUGAAGUAUUUCGGUAUGUAAAGCUCUAUCAGCAGGGAAGAAAAUGACGGUACCUGACUAAGAAGCCCCGGCUAACUACGUGCCAGCAGCCGCGGUAAGACGUAGGGGGAAAGCGUUAUCCGGAUUUGCUGGGUGUAAAGGUAGCGUAGACGGCGGUGCAAGCCAGAUGUGAAAGCCCGGGGCUCAACCCCGGGACUGCAGUUGGAACUGGGCUGCUAGAGUGUCGGAGAGGCAGGCGGAAUUCCUGGUGUAGCGGUGAAAUGCGUAGAUAUUAGGAGGAACACCAGUGGCGAAGGCGACCAGCUGGACGAUGACUGACGUUGAGGCUCGAAAGCGUGGGGAGCAAACAGGAUUAGAUACCCCAGUAGUC